rnacentral:rRNA from 1 species
CCUACGGGUGGCAGCAGUGGGGAAUAUUGGGCAAUGGAGGCAACUCUGACCCAGCAACGCCGCGUGAAUGAUGAAGGUCUUCGGAUUGUAAAGUUCUGUGAUGGGGGAUGAACACCAUGACGGUACCCCACUAGCAAGCCACGGCUAACUACGUGCCAGCAGCCGCGGUAAUACGUAGGUGGCAAGCGUUAUCCGGAUUUACUGGGUGUAAGGGGCGUGUAGGCGGGACUGCAAGUCAGAUGUGAAAACCACGGGCUCAACCUGUGGCCUGCCGUUGAAACUGUAGUUCUGGAGUACUGGAGAGGCAGACGGAAUUCCUAGUGUAGCGGUGAAAUGCGUAGAUAUUAGGAGGAACACCAGUGGCGAAGGCGGUCUGCUGGACAGCAACUGACGCUGAGGCGCGAAAGCGUGGGGAGCAAACAGGAUUAGAUACCCGAGUAGUC